AAUAAAGUAUUUGAUUAAUUUUGAGUGAAAAUGUCAAGGGAUUAUGAUUUUGGGAGAAAGUGGUUGAUGCUGUUCUCGAUAGGGAGGAGCUCCGGCGACUUGCCCUCUGUUCCAGCCCCAGCUCCAGUUUUUCCGAUUACUCCUCACGCCUUAGUUUUGACUCCACCGAACAGCGUAUCCUGUUGCACGGCCCAUAGAGCUGAAAGAGAUUAUAAAAGCAACGGAAAACUUUCAACCAGCCAUGAUCAUAGGAGAAGGAUCCAUGUGUCAAGCAUUUAGGGUGUGGAUCGAUGAGCACACCCUCAUUGCUUCGAAUCCUGGAUCUGGAUUGGCUGUUGCAGUUAAGAAAUGGCAGAAUUUCUUAAAACAUCAAGAUUGGUUGUUUUGGACAGAAACAGGGGAUUUUAAUUAUGCAGAUGUGCCAACUAUUGAAUGCCAAGCUAUCCUAGUAUUGUUACGGUAGAUAUGAUCCUACCAAUGAAACAACUAGACUUCAAACAACUCAAUUCUUCGUUAAACCUGGACAUAUAUACAUCAAAAGAUGAACAUGGACAAGCGAUUAGGCGGCCAGUACCCACGCGAUGAAGCAUAUGAAGUUGUGAAGCUAGCGUUGAAGUGCGAGCUCUUUCUAUUUUUGUUCUAAGCCGCUAAUAGAAUUCCAUUUUAAUGAAGGAGUUUAGUUUUAUUCCGACUUAGGGAGUGACGCAUAACCAUCAUGCGUCUUUAUUAAUAAAACGCAUAACCAUCAUGUGUCUUUACGUAAUGACGCACAACCAUUAUGCGUUUUUAAAGAAGCGUAACCCUUAUGCGUCUAUACGGAAUGACGCAUAACCCUUAUGGGUCUUUUCGUCCGUCGUGUUUUAACAGAAGGCAGAAGCAGCGCACAUAAGCAGAAAACCCUUUCAAUUCCUCUCUCAGGUGAAGGCGAUUUUGUGUGAUGUCCGACGAUUUCGAUCGAUAAAUUAAAUUUAUACAGAUGCCAAAAACGGGAACUUUUCCGAUUAUUUCCUUGACAGUUUCAACAGCGUAAGGAACUGCUGAGGGGUCUCCUGGACCAUUGCUGAGAAACACACCAUCUGGCUUCAUCUUUAGGGUCUCAGAUGCUAGCCAUGUUGAAGGAGCUUGACAUGAGACACCACUUGAGUAAUUAAACAUGGUAAACAAUACAAACAUG